AAAAAAAAAAAAAGUACAACAUGGACGUAGCCUCCAGAAAAUGGUGGCAAACGGGAUUUGAUCAAACCGGGCUUCUGACCCCCACUCAGAAAAUGGAGGUUGAAGAGACUGACUUGAGAGGUUUCAUUCUCUGCAAGAAUUUCCCCCCUCAGUUUCUUCCAGUUUAAUGGAGCUUCCACUGUCACCCCUUGUGCAAGGUUGUGAGUUCCUCUCUCUCUCUCCAUCUGGGAGCUGGCACGAUUCCCCCCCCCAAAAAAAAACCACAGGUAUCGAAGCGCAUCUUAAGUAGACGGUGGUCCAAAGCCCAGCUCAAUUUGAGAUUGGGACACCAAUCCGCCUGAAGUCAUUCACGCUUUCUGCUCAUUCCCUCUGCUCACACCCGUUGAAUGGGGAUCUCAUUAAAUUCAACCCCUGCAGAGAGGGUUGGAUUUAAGCCCCUGCGUGUCAAUACUGAAACUUUGGUUCCUCUUCGUGAAUGUCUGGAAAGUAAGGCCAACCAUCUCACAACGCUUGAUCGAGAUCAGAUUUGCAGAGCUGAGGGAAGAGACUGCCACCUUAGCUCCCCGUUUCACAAUGGAAACUUUGUACACAACUGGCUCAAGGACUGGGAGUCGGUCCAGCUCUUCGGUUUGCGCCAAGAACACAGAGCGAGACAUGGGCUCUUGCUUCUGGGUUUGACUCCUUCUUUCCUCGCUGCCUCUCCUCCCAGAGGCUGCGCGACUACACCGGCAAGCCGAAUCGCUCCAAUAAGCAGCUUGUUUCACCGCUUAUUUUGCACUUCUGUUCAGAUUAGAGGAUCACACGGAGGAUGUGGAUUGUUCUGUGCCAGUGUCCACGUCGGCCCCUCAAUCUGAUGUGGUUUGAGCUGUGCCACGGCCCACAGCCCCUCUUCCUUUGAUCCCGUGCUCUACCAAUCCCCGGCUAUCCUUUUACGGUUGAUUGUAAAAGCUAGUGGACUGUUUAAAGUGUUGCACAGAAAACGUACAGCUUCCUACAGAUUUCCAUAAUGUACAAACACAUAUACACAUGGUGGCCUGUUGUGGUUUGUUGGGUUGUUUUCUGUUCCAUUUUGAUCUCGCUCGCUUGCUCGCUGCAGAAGUGAUCUAGCGCUACACUAGUAUAUCAGCAUAGUGAGACGGUGAUCUAGCACUAAACUCAAU
rnacentral:lncRNA from 1 species